CUGGGAGCGCCGGAGGAGCCCCUUUUCGUGCGCGAUGUUGGCGAGCGCGGUUGCGCGGGGGGAGCCCCGAGACAAAGGAUACAUCUGGGGGUCCAAGGCUGAGGGAGAACCAUCUGAAGUAUCACUGGAAAAAACUCAGGAGCAGGAGCAAAAACUGAGGAGACAAGAGGAGAGACAGACUCAUACAGGGGACAAAUCUUAUAAAUGUUUCGAGUGUGGAAAGACCUUUACUCGGAGUGGCCACCUUACUUCGCAUCAAAGAACUCACACAGGAGACAAACCUUAUAAAUGCUUGGAAUGUGGAAAGAGCUUCAGUCGGAGUGACAGCCUUACUUCGCAUCAAAGAACUCACACAGGAGACAAACCUUAUAAAUGCUUGGAGUGUGGAAAGAGCUUCAGUCGGAGUAGCACCCUUACUUUGCAUCAAAGAACUCACACAGAAGACAAACGUUAUAAAUGCUUGGAGUGUGGAAAGAGCUUCAGUCAGAGUAGCACCCUUACUUCACAUCAAAGAACUCACACAGGAGACAAACCUUAUAAAUGCUUGGAAUGUGGAAAGAGCUUCAGUCGGAUUGACAGCCUUACUUCGCAUCAAAGAACUCACACAGGAGACAAACCUUAUAAAUGCUUCGAGUGUGGAAAGAGCUUCAGUCGGAGUAGCACCCUUACUUUGCAUCAAAGAACUCACACAGGAGACAAACCUUAUAAAUGCUUCGAGUGUGGAAAGAGUUUCAGUGACAGUAGCACCCUUACUUUGCAUCAAAGAAUUCACACAGGAGACAAACCUUAUAAAUGUUUGGAGUGUGGAAAAGGCUUCAGUCGGAGUGACAGCCUUACUUCGCAUCAAAGAAUUCACACAGGGGAAAAACCUUUUAAAUGCUUGGAGUGUGGAAAGGGCUUCAGUCGGAGUGUCAGCCUUACUUCGCAUCAAAGAAUUCACACAGGGGAAAAACCUUUUAAAUGCUUGGAGUGUGGAAAGGGCUUCAGUGACCGUAGCACCCUUACUUGUCAUCAAAGAACUCAUACAGGGGACAAACCUUAUAAAUGCUUGGAGUGCGGAAAGAGCUUCAGUGACCGUAGCACCCUUACUUGUCAUCAAAGAACUCAUACAGGGGACAAACCUUAUAAAUGCUUGGAGUGUGGAAAGAGAUUCAGUGAUAGUAGCAACCUUUCUUCGCAUCAAAGAAGUCACACAGGGGACAAACCUUAUCAAUGCUUUGAGUGUGGAAAGAGCUUCAGUCAGGGUAGCCACCUUAAUUUGCAUCACAGAACUCAUACAGGGGACAAACCUUAUAAAUGCUUGAAGUGUGGAAAGAGCUUCAGUCAGAGUGGCAACCUUACCUCGCAUCACAGAACGCAUACAGGGAACAAACCUUAUACGUGCUUGUAGUGUUGAAAGACAUUUCAUCAGAAUGGCUACCUUCAGGCACAUCAAAAGAUCCGUUUAAGGGAAGAGAUGUAUAAAUGCUUUGAAGUGGAAAGAACUUUAAGCAGAGUUCUGCUCUUUCUCUGCAUCCAUACGGGGAAGCCGGGCUUCAAACAAGAUUUUUAUGGGAGUUUCAGACCCCCGACAGUGUCCUUCUCUUAGCUUAACCACAAACUGUUCCACUUCCCUUCACCCCAUGCUGUGGAGUUGGAAUCGUGGAGUGGGAGUGGGAGUCGGAAGCAAUUUUGGGUGGAGUUGGUAGAAAUGUACCGAGUCCAACUCCGGCUUCAAGAUAAAAUUAAUAUUUUAAUAGAAUAGUUACAGGAAGCAUGAAAAUCAUGAUAAUCUUGGCAGAAAGUGGGAUUCUGGGUGUGGUUCUUUUUCCCGUCCCCUUCAAGGGUGAAAUAAUGUUUGCAUUUACUUACACCAACCUCUAUGCCUUUCUUUCCUUUGCUCUUGUUUCCCAAAACACAGAACUCACCCAAUCUUGACAGAGCCAAAUUCCACUGUGGCACCAGAACACCACUUCCUUGCAGUGUCUAAGAUGCCUGGGAAUCCAGGUGCCACAAUGAGUGUGGAAGAUACAAGGUCAACAGGGAAAUUGUUUCAUGGGUCAAAGUCACAGCUGGUUCAGCUCAGCUCCGUUCUUGCGCUGUGACACUUGUGCAGUUGUUUGCACCCUGCAGGCAGAACGGGCCAUCAGCAUCAGUAGAUAUGAACCUUGCCACCAAUCCCCAGGGAGAGUGGGAUGACCAGGCUCCAUGAGGAGCUCUGGAAAGGCCUCUUUGACCUAUGAAUGCAGUGUUCUAACAACUUCAAUUAAUACCCAACAGUAUUUCCAGAGGGCUUCACCCUCUAACUUUAAUGUGGAAGGAUGAGAGAGAAAAGAUGGUGAACUGGGCAUGCACAUGGGCCAUGCCAUCAAAAUCUCUAUGGAGACAAUCCAUGCUCACGGCUAGCAGUGCUGGGAGUGGGGCAAGAGCCACUGCUGUUUUUGUUCUUAUGCUUCUGUUAAUAUAAGGGAGAUAGAGUGAGGGUCUCCAGCUGGCUAGGCUUGCCUACCUUUACCUGUGAUGUGCUCUGACUUGUCUUCCAUUGAAGACUGAUUUGUCUGCACUGACUGGCAGCAUCACUCUGGGGUUUCAGAGAGGGAGCCUUUCUCACCCUUUGUGGAACUGCUGGGGACUGACCUGGACUGAUCCUUAAGAACGACUCUUUCUUUUUCUGGACCGACUAUGCCCUAGACCAGUUGGUCAUGGAACAGACAUAAGAACAUAAUCAGGCCAGUGGCCCAUCUAGUCCAGCAUCCUGUUCUCACAGUGGCCAACCAGGUGCCUGGGGAAGCCCGCAAGCAGGACCCGAGUGCAAGAACACUCUCCCCUCCUGAGGCUUCCGGCAACUGAUUUUCAGAAAUAUACUGCCUCUGACUAGGGUGGCACAGCACAGCCAUCACGGCUAGUAGCCAUUGAUAGCCCUGUCCUCCAUGAAUUUGUCUAAUCUUCUUUUAAAACCAUCCAAGCUGGUGGUCAUUACUGCGUCUUGUGGGAACAAAUUCCACAGUUAACUAUGUGCUGAGUAAGGAAGUACUUCCUUUUGUCUUUCCUGAAUCUUCCAACAUUCAGCUUCUCUGAAUGUCCAUGAGUUCUAGUAUUAUGAAAGAGGGAGAAAAACGGUCUCUAUCCACUUUCUCAAUGCCAUGCAUAAUUUUAUACACUUCUAUCAUGUCUCCCCUGACCCGCCUUUUCUCUAAACUAAAAAGCCCCAAAUGCUGCAACCUUUCCUCAUAAGGGAGUCGCUCCAUCCCCUUGAUCAUUCUGGUUGCCCUCUUCUGAACCUUUUCCAACUCUAUAAUAUCCUUUUUGAGAUGAGGCGACCAGAACUGUAUACAGUAUUCCGAAUGCGGGCAUACCAUAGAUAUAUGUUUUAUUUUCAAUACCUUUCCUAAUGAUACCUAGCACGGAAUUUGCCUUUUUCACAGCUGCCGCACACUGGGUCGACAUUUUCAUCGUGCUGUCCACUACAACCCCGAGGUCUCUCUCCUGGUCGGUCACCGCAAGUUCAGACCCCAUGAGUGUAUAAUCAAGGAGACAGGUGACCCUUUCCAGACAAUUUCUCUGCAGUGCCCUGAAAUGCAUCUCCCAAGACUUUGUUCUAUAGUCAGCUGGAAGGACCGGCUACUUGCUUGCCCAUGUGCUCACCUGGCCUGCUCUGCCCUUCCCAAAGCACCCCAUUGACAUUGAAUGAGCAACAGAGAGUCGGAAGCUGAUGUGGCAUCAGUGGAUCUGGGAAACUCCAUGCUGGUGUAUUCCUGCAUCAGCCAAAGGGCUCAGAUAUGCCAUACCUCUGAGGGAUGUUGGAGUUCUGUUCCCAUCAACUAAAAGACCCCCCCACAACUUCUCAGAUUUUAGUGGGCAUGUCUUUGACAUUUUGAAGCCUCAUGUCACAUUUAUAAGAGGUAGAAAUGUAUUGGUUUCUUCAAUGGAAGAUUAAAUGUUUUGUUGGAAUGUAUGAGGUUCAACUCCAACUUGGUGGGUUGAGGCUGCAUGGGGU